rnacentral:rRNA from 1 species
GAUGAACGCUGGCGGCGUGCCUAAUACAUGCAAGUCGAGCGAACGGACGAGAAGCUUGCUUCUCUGAUGUUAGCGGCGGACGGGUGAGUAACACGUGGAUAACCUACCUAUAAGACUGGGAUAACUUCGGGAAACCGGAGCUAAUACCGGAUAAUAUUUUGAACCGCAUGGUUCAAAAGUAAAAGACGGUCUUGCUGUCACUUAUAGAUGGAUCCGCGCUGCAUUAGCUAGUUGGUAAGGUAACGGCUUACCAAGGCAACGAUGCAUGGCCGACCUGAGAGGGUGAUCGGCCACACUGGAACUGAGACACGGUCCAGACUCCUACGGGAGGCAGCAGUAGGGAAUCUUCCGCAAUGGGCGAAAGCCUGACGGAGCAACGCCGCGUGAGUGAUGAAGGUCUUCGGAUCGUAAAACUCUGUUAUUAGGGAAGAACAUAUGUGUAAGUAACUGUGCACAUCUUGACGGUACCUAAUCAGAAAGCCACGGCUAACUACGUG